rnacentral:tRNA from 1 species
UCCUGGGUGGCUCAGAUGGUAAAGAAUCUGCCUGCAAUGCAGAAGACCCGGGUUUGAUCCCUGGGUCAGGAA